rnacentral:rRNA from 1 species
UACAGAGGGCUCAAGCGUUGUUCGGAUUCAUUGGGCGUAAAGGGUGUGUAGGUGGCGCCGUAAGUCGGGUGUGAAAUCUCGGAGCUCAACUCCGAAAUGGCAUUGGAAACUACCUUGCUCGAGGGUUGGAGGGGGGACUGGAAUACUUGGUGUAGCAGUGAAAUGCGUAGAUAUCAAGUGGAACACCAGUGGCGAAGGCGAGUCCCUGGACAACUCCUGACACUGAGGCACGAAAGCUAGGGGAGCAAACAGG